rnacentral:lncRNA from 1 species
GUCAGGAGCUGCUCGUAGAUCGGCGCGGCCUCCGAGAGAGGCAAACGGCGGGCCUGAUUGGCGUGGUGGUUGACCAUUGUAUUUGGGAUUAUGGUGAGGUAUAGGUUGGUUCUGUGUUGGUGAGGAGGUCGAAGAAAUUAAUUGAGAGAAUCAUGGCCAUAGGAUUGACUAUUGAGAAACCGGGUAACCUGUGAAACCUGAAGGAAGAGUCUGUUCCGACAAAGUAAAAUUCAUGGAUCGGAGUAAAAGGAGUAGAGAGAGUGAGACUUUUGGAAGAGAAGAGUGGGAGCUUGCUGGCGAAGCAGAUUGGAUUAGAUAAAUCUCAAAUACGAUCGACAAACAGACGCACUCUUUCUCAGACCCCCAAUUUUUGUGUCUAUUCGCAGCAGCAGCUAGCCGAGUGAGUUUUUUUUUAUUUUAAAAAAAAAAUUCUAUAAAUUUCAACUCUCUAGUUUUACGGCUCUCGUUCUACAUCAAUUUUAUGCUCUCUGUUUUACAAAUCUUGUUACAAAGCUAAAGAGUAGAUCUUUUAGAUAUGACUUGCAUACAAUUUACAAUUUUGUGGGUUUUGAGUGAUUGCUGCUAAAUGGGUAUGAUUUAAAUGUAUAUAUGCAAUGGAAUUCAUUCGAGUUUCUUGAUGAGAUGGAGAUUGUAAAAUACACAAUCUGAAUAUACAUGAAUUGUUAAACUUUUAUGUUUUUGAAUAAGAUAGUUGGGUACGUUGGGUAUCCUAAUUCUUAAGAAGUCAGCUUUUUUACCAAGUCUUUAGGAGUCCAAGUCUUGAGGAGUGAAGUUGAGUAGGAGUCUUGUUUUGAUUUACUUCCUUAAUUUAUGUAAAAGCUGUUCCAAGUGCAGUCUAUAUAUGUAAUUGAAACAGAGGAAAUAAGAUAGGCUUUUGAGUCGAAUUGCUCAGUAAGCUUUCAGUUACAAUUCUCUCUUGCUUUUAACAUGAAUUGCUCUUAAACCCUAGAGUUGAAAUUGGAAAUUGAAAAUUUUCCAGUAUGAAAGUGUUGAAUGUUGAAAAUUUUGCUGAACGAGUUCGUUUAUGACAACAGGUUAUUUGAUAAAAGAAGACAUGAAUUUGGAGCAUGCUAGUUCCGGAGACGGAAGAUUGAACAUACUAGGUUGAAGGUUUCUAAUGCAGCAACAACAAUCUUUUGCAGGAAGUGAUGGUGUAUUUUCUUGGGAUGCAACUUCUGAUCUUAAGUGCGUAUCUAACCUGGAAAUAUCCUUUAUUUUCAGUGUCUGAUGUGAAGGACAAGUACAAGGUCUGAUCCAUUUCCUCCGUUUUCUGUCACACUGCAGAAUAUCCUUCCACUUAUUUGGUUUUGGCCCAAGUAUAUUUUGAACAUACCUUCAGGUUUCAGCUAUAUUUCAGACGUUAUAUAUAACUUUGUAAAAGAGUACCUUAUGAUGAGACCAUUAUUUAGAAGAUAUACACUGCAUUUUUUUUCCUUAGAGUUAUAUAUGCAAGGAGAUGAAUUUCAGUUGUCUGUAUCCAGGUUUUCAUAGCUUGUGGGACGAGUCAAGGAGAAGACCCCUUUCGCAAACCCAAACCGGGGUUGUGGCAUAUGUUGGAACAACACUUCAACUCUGGCAUUUCCAUUGAUCUUUUUAUGUUGGUGAUGCUGCUGGAAGAAGCAAUGAUCACAGUGAUGCUGUCUUAAGUUUGCAGAGGCCAAUGGUUUAAAGUUUUAUGUCCCAGAGGAUUUCUUUGAAGCUUGAGGAACUUUACGGUCAUCAAAAUAUCAAAUCGUACUAGGAAAUUCAGUGUCACGUUGGUAUUCAACAUGGUUCUUUUCUAGCAGGUGAUUUUGAUAUAGACAGCCCCCUUUGUAAAGGAAAUUGUGUAUUGGCUAUUA